GACGAACGCUGGCGGCGUGCUUAACACAUGCAAGUCGAGCGGUAAGGCCCUUUCGGGGGUACACGAGCGGCGAACGGGUGAGUAACACGUGGGUGACCUGCCCUCAGCUCUGGGAUAAGCCCGGGAAACUGGGUCUAAUACCGGAUAUGACUCCACGGUGCAUGCCGUGGGGUGGAAAGCCUUGUGCGGCUGAGGAUGGGCCCGCGGCCUAUCAGCUUGUUGGUGGGGUGAUGGCCACCAAGGCGACGACGGGUAGCCGGCCUGAGAGGGCGACCGGCCACACUGGGACUGAGACACGGCCCAGACUCCUACGGGAGGCAGCAGUGGGGAAUCUUGCGCAAUGGGCGAAAGCCUGACGCAGCGACGCCGCGUGA
rnacentral:rRNA from 1 species